GAUGAAGAACGUAGCGAAAUGCGAUAAGUAGUGUGAAUUGCAGAAUUCAGUGAAUCAUCGAAUCUUUGAACGCACAUUGCGCCCUUUGGUAUUCCAAAGGGCAUGCCUGUUCGAGCGUCAUUUGUACCCUCAAGCUUUGCUUGGUGUUGGGCGUCUUGUCUCUAGCUUUGCUGUAGACUCGCCUUAAAGUAAUUGGCAGCCGGCCUACUGGUUUCGGAGCGCAGCACAAGUCGCACUCUCUAUCAGCAAAGGUCUAGCAUCCAUUAAGCCUUUUUUUCAACUUUUGACCUCGGAUCAGGUAGGGAUACCCGCUGAACUUAAGCAUAUCAAUAAGCGGAGGA
rnacentral:misc_RNA from 1 species